AAUAGAUACCCCGGUAGCCCACGCCGUAAACGAUGAGUGCUAAGUGUUAGAGGGUUUCCGCCCUUUAGUGCUGCAGCUAACGCAUUAAGCACUCCGCCUGGGGAGUACGGUCGCAAGACUGAAACUCAAAGGAAUUGACGGGGGCCCGCACAAGCGGUGGAGCAUGUGGUUUAAUUCGAAGCAACGCGAAGAACCUUACCAGGUCUUGACAUCCUCUGACAACUCUAGAGGUAGAGCGUUCCCCUUCGGGGGACAGAGUGACAGGUGGUGCAUGGUUGUCGUCAGCUCGUGUCGUGAGAUGUUGGGUUAAGUCCCGCAACGAGCGCAACCCUUGAUCUUAGUUGCCAGCAUUCAGUUGGGCACUCUAAGGUGACUGCCGGUGACAAACCGGAGGAAGGUGGGGAUGACGUCAAAUCAUCAUGCCCCUUAUGACCUGGGCUACACACGUGCUACAAUGGAUGGUACAAAGGGCUGCAAGACCGCGAGGUCAAGCCAAUCCCAUAAAACCAUUCUCAGUUCGGAUUGC
rnacentral:rRNA from 1 species